rnacentral:misc_RNA from 1 species
AAGUCGUAACAAGGUUUCCGUAGGUGAACCUGCGGAAGGAUCAUUAACACCCAUCUUUGAUGGCCAAAUCACCUUUGGCGUCAAAACCAACCAACUGUACGAACCUAUUCACUGAGGCUCCUUUACCAAGUCAGCGAUUGGGCGCGUAGUAGUUAUGUCAUGUCACGUAACUCUGCGUUUUCGAUCGAUUACUUGGGGACUUGUGCUGUAACAUCAGUCCGCUCGCGGAUUGUGGUUACGCUUGUCCGGGGCCGCCUUCACCCUGUUUAAAUGACUUGACGAAUCUGACCUAAAUGACUGAAACCGUGGUGGGACAGCAAUCGGAAACGAGUGCUGCCACCCAAAAAAAAAGAGUAAAACUUGAAACAACUCUUAACAACGGAUAUCUUGGCUCUC